GGCCUGGGACUCCUGCAGUGGUGGCUCCUGGUAGGUGACAGGCUGAAACCCACAUGUCGGGUCUCUCCUUUGCACCCCCUUCCCUGAGAAGAAGGCCACCUAAGAGAGUCCCCUCGGAGUGAGGAAGAGUGAGGGGUGGCCAUUGCCCUUCUGACAGCUCUGGCCAGAGGCGGUCUUCCAGUCACUGUCACUCAGAAGAAAGCCAACCUGGGACGAUUGCCAGCAGCUUCUGCAGAUUCUUUUUACCACAGAACAGAGAGAAAGGAUCCUCUUGGAAGCCUGAAAACUUGUGCCUGGGGCGGACGGAAACCUGACCUUAAACCCAGCCCUGAUAGAUAGAUGCCAGCUUCCCUUUGAUAAGACCCACCUGGGAUUUUACCUCACCUGAAGGUAAGGAGAAGCUUCAGGUCUAUCACCAGGCUCUGAUGGGUGGUCUUGGGGCGGCGGCACACCGACCCACUAAUUUGGCCAAGAUUAGUAGUGUGCAACAGGAAAAGAUAGAAACCCCAGCUGUUUUCUUAGAAAGAAUUAUGGAGGCGUAUCGAAUGUUCACUCCCCUAGAUCCAGAGGCUCCAGAAAAUAAGUCAGCAGUAAUUAUGGCUUUUAUAAAUCAGGCUGCCCCUGAAAUCUGGAAAAAACUUCAGAAAAUAGAUGAGUAGGUAAGUCUUUACAGGAACUAUUGGCAGUAGCAGAGAAAGUCUUUUAACAACCGAGAGACCCCUGAAGAACGCCAAUUACGAACAAUGACAGCAGCUAACGAGUGACAGACUUGGAACCUCAUUAAGGUAUUGUUGGCAGCUACUGCUCAAGGCCCUUGGUGGAAAGGCCGAGAGGCCCAUCCUUCCCAAAGGUUUGAAAAAAGCAGAGGUCCAUACAGGGAGGGAAAAAAGAAGCUCCUUGAAGAUCAGUGUGCAUAUUGCAGGGAAAUGGGUCACUGGGCUAGAGAGUGUCCGAGAAGAAAGGAGAGACAAAAAGACACUGGGACAAAAAUCCUAGAACUGGGUGACUAGGGACGACAGGGUUCGGGUCCCCUCCCCGAACCCAGGGUAACUUUAACAAUAGAGGGGAAACCUGUUAGCUUUUUAGUAGAUAGGGGGCUCAACAUUCAGUGUUGACCCAAUCCAUGGGAAAACUAUCCAAACAAAAGACCUGGGUACAAGGAGCGACUGGCCUGAAACAAUAUUCCUGGACUACUCAGAGGACUGUGGACUUGGGGAAGGGACAGGUAUCUCAUUCUUUUGUGCUUAUUUCCAAAUGCCCCUACCCCCUUCUUGGGAGAGACCUGCUUUCUAAGAUGGGAGCAACCAUUACUUUCCAGCCCCAAAGACCAGUAAUUAUGACCACUGACUCCAUGCCAGUUCCUAUCCUUACUUUAAAUUUGGUUAAUGAAGCUUCCUUGAACCCAGCUAUCUUGCUCCCUGACCCUGAAUUGGACACUCCCUUGCAUGGCUGCUCUGAGAUUCUGGGCUGCACGUUUGACCUCCGGGAGGUCCUGAAGGACCAGCCUUUGAGAGGAGCAGAAGUGGACUGGAAUACUGAUGGGAGCAGCUUCAUCGGAGAUGGGGUAAGCCCACAUCCAUGGGGAUAUAUAUCGAGAAAGGGGACUGCUCACAGCUGAAGGUGAAGCUAUAAAGGGCCAGCAAGAAGUGUUGG